GGUUUUAAUUCGAAGCAACGCGAAGAACCUUACCUGAUCUUGACAUCCCGAUGACCGCUUCGUAAUGGAAGUUUUUCUUCGGAACAUCGGUGACAGGUGGUGCAUGGUUGUCGUCAGCUCGUGUCGUGAGAUGUUGGGUUAAGUCCCGCAACGAGCGCAACCCCUAUCUUCAGUAGCCAGCAGGUUAAGCUGGGCACUCUGGAGAGACUGCCAGGGAUAACCUGGA
rnacentral:rRNA from 1 species